rnacentral:snRNA from 1 species
AGCUUUGCGCAGUGGCAGUAUCGUAGCCUGUGAGGUUAAUCCGAGGCGCGAUUAUUGCUAAUUGAAAACUUUUCCCAAUACCCCGCCAUGACGACUUGAAAUAUAGUCGGCAUUGGCAAUUUUUGAGGGCCUCCACGGAGG